AUUCCAUCGCCGCCACCGCCUCCGCAUCUCCAGCGCCCCCAAACCCUAGCUCUCUCCUCCUCCGCCGCCGCGCCGAUCGAUCAGGAGUAGCAAUGGCCAGGUUCUCCGCAGCCGCCGUGAUCGCCUUCGCCGUGGUGGCCGCGGCCGCGCUGGCCACCGUGGCGUCCGCCGCCGACGCGCCGGCACCCGCCCCGACCUCCGGCGCGGUGGCGGCCGUCUCGGCGCCUCUCUCCGUGUGCUGCGUCGCCGGCCUCCUCCUCGCCUUGCUCCGCCACUGAAGCGUUCUUCUUCCUCUGAAUGCUUUUGCUUCAGAUCUAGCAGUACAGUGGUCGUGCGAGUCUUACUUAGCAUUUAGUAUUAGAGCUUAGUAGCGAUGAUGACGUGUGCGUGUGGAGGCAUUGUUUUUUGGUUGGAUCUAUGGGGUUUUACGGGUUGGUUUGGAGUGAGGAGGAUUUGAGAUGGGGAUUAUUAGUAUCUGUUAGACUGUUACUACUACUGGUUUAUUUAUUUUGGUAGUCUUUUGGUGUGAUGGGUUUGGGAUCUGUGUAUUUACCACUUGAGUACACUGUUCUGAGAGAUCGUUAUUGAUAUUAUUAUGAUUAUUAUUAUUACGU
rnacentral:sRNA from 1 species